AGACAAAGAAAGAAGUAAAGCUUGCUGACACACACACACACACACACACACACACACACACACACACACACACACACACACACACACACACACACACACACACACACACACACACACAUACAUACAUACAUACACAAACAAACACACAAUGCAGGCUGCUUGUCUGAGGUGCUGUCAGACAGGGCUAAACAGUUCAGGGUAUAGGACGAGGGAGAGUAAGAGGAGGAGCAGGAGCAGGAGAGGAGGGGGAGGAGGAGGAGGAGGAGAAGAGGGUUCUCAGGGUUUAUAAGGAAGAUGCAGUAAUUCAUCUGUCCUUUCUAUCCUGCGGAUAUGUCUGCUGAAGGAUUCAGGGGGCUGGUGACCAUAACCCUUUAACAGGUCACCAUGGAGUCCCAUUCUGUCUGCUUGCUAUGAAUCAUUGAGGAGGAGGAGGAGGAGGAGGAGGAGGAGGAGGAGGAGGAGAAGAAAUCCUGGGCUAGACUAAGGGCGGGUCGCGCCUCCCCCGCGACCGUCCGGUCAUGAGAACACUACACAUCGGGUGUGGCCUUCACUAGGGAGUAACGCAACAGUGGUGCUGCCUACCGCAGGAACAAGGCCGAUGCGUCGUGUUCCCAUGCCGGGCCAGCAGGGGGUGACGUGUGCAGAGCCAGUGCUGCAGAAAUGCAGUGACCUCGAAACAACUAACCAAAACUCAGACUACAGAAGCAAAACCACAAAAGCCAAAACUACUUUCCACUUCCCUUUUCCCCUUUGGCUUCUGGUGGUCUGCGUGCUUGGUUAGGUGGGCUCGAGGGAGGGGCCUGCUGAUAAACACAAUCCCAUAAUAGAUUCACCUAAAAAGGCUGUACGCAACAUUUACUGUAAAAACCAAUGAAAAUGUGAAAAUAAAACUGUAAACACAUGCAACUUUAA